rnacentral:lncRNA from 1 species
AGUCCGGAUCCCAAGUCCUGACUUCCAGACACAUCACCCAUCCUAUGCAAACUUCUGAGAGCCUGCCAGGAUGCCAUGUAGGCACAUGUGGGCUUGAGCCAUCCUCCUCCAAGAAGCCCCAGUACUGCGUGGGUGGCCAGUCAAAGAAUGGGACUAUCAAAUGGAAUAAGAGGAUGUAGUAUAAAGAACAUUGACUUGGGCUUGGAACGAGUUGUGCUACCUUGGCAAGAUUGAUCAUCCUGAGCAAAGCGAUGCCUUCCGAAGGCAGCUUCCCCUGCUGUCU